AUGUUUUUCUCUGGCUGUUUAUGACGUCUUUACACUAAAUCCAUUGGAUGUUGGAUGUGUACGGAUUGAUAGUUUAGUCUUAGUUGCAUGAUUUUUUUAUUAGUUGUUAGUGGCUUUGAACUAGCUGUCAGAUAACUGCGAGUACUCUCAGAUCUGUUCAUUGUGUCUUUUGUGUCGGGAUGUAUAAGUACCGGGCCACGUUCACUUUAUUUUUGUCCAUCUGAUGAGUUAAGCCUUUUUCAACUGAUUUUUAUAGUUCGUUCUUAUGUUGUACUGUUAUACCACUGUCCCAGGUUAGGGGGAGGGUUGGGAUCCCGCUAAAAUGUUUAACCCCGCCACAUUAUUUAAGUAUGUGCCUGUCCCAAGUCAGGAGCCUGUAAUUCAGUGGUUGUCGUUUGUUUAUGUGUUACAUAUUUGUUUUUCGUUCAAUUUUUUUUAUAUAAAUAAGGCCGUUAGUUUUC
rnacentral:lncRNA from 1 species